rnacentral:rRNA from 1 species
AGAGUUUGAUCAUGGCUCAGGAUGAACGCUAGCGGCAGGCCUAAUACAUGCAAGUCGAACGGUAAGUAUUUUAGCAAUAAGAUACGAGAGUGACGUACGGGUGCGUAACACGUAUGCAACCUACCCAAAACAGGAGGAUAGCUCAGGGAAACUUGGAUUAACCCUCCAUAAGAUCGUGCUCAGGCAUCUGAGAGCGAUAAAAACCGCGAGGUGGUUUUGGAUGGGCAUGCGUAUGAUUAGUUAGUUGGUAGUGUAACGGACUACCAAGACGAUGAUCAUUAGGGGACCUGAGAGGGUGAUCCCCCACACUGGCACUGAGAUACGGGCCAGACUCCUACGGGAGGCAGCAGUAGGGAAUAUUGGUCAAUGGAUGGAAGUCUGAACCAGCCAUGCCGCGUGCAGGAAGACGGCCUUCUGGGUUGUAAACUGCUUUUGCCAGGGGAUAAAGAGCCCAUGCGUGGGAAGUUGAAGGUACCUGGUGAAUAAGCCACGGCUAACUACGUGCCAGCAGCCGCGGUAAUACGUAGGUGGCGAGCGUUGUCCGGAUUUAUUGGGUUUAAAGGGUGCGUAGGCGUCCGAGCAAGUUUUAGGUGAAAUGCUCAAGCUCAACUUGGGAGCUGCCUGAAAAACUGCAUGGAUAGAGUACAGAUGAGGUAGGCGGAAUUGACGGUGUAGCGGUGAAAUGCAUAGAUAUCGUCAAGAACACCGAUAGCGAAGGCAGCUUACUAGGCUGUAACUGACGCUGAGGCACGAAAGUGUGGGGAUCAAACAGGAUUAGAUACCCUGGUAGUCCACACUGUAAACGUUGAUGACUCGCUGUUGGCGAUAUACGGUCAGCGGCCAAGCGAAAGCGAUAAGUCAUCCACCUGGGGAGUACGCCGGCAACGGUGAAACUCAAAUGAAUUGACGG